rnacentral:lncRNA from 1 species
UUCCAAUCAAACUAGCUAGGCCAGCCACGUUCUGAAAACAAUAAUUUUUCUAGCAUUUUUCUUUUUACCAUAAUCGUUGGUAAAUCCUCCAUUGCCACCGUCGUCACUGUUCAUCAUAGUUUCAAUAGCUUUCAUCAUUGCUUUUUCAUCAAAAUUCUGGGCAUUCUCGUUAUUCUCACUCGCUCCAAUGAAAGCCAUGCAAUCGUCCAACAAUUUUUUCUUUGCUGCUUCUUUUGCAAGCAUUUUCUGAUUUUUUCUCCUAAGCAUGGAACGCUCCUUCACCUUCUUUUGAAGUGCAAGUUGAUUAGCCCUCAGUGAUUCUUCCAUCGGCCAUUUCUUCUGUCUCUCUAUUGCUA